CCUACGGGUGGCUGCAGUGGGGAAUAUUGGACAAUGGGCGAAAGCCUGAUCCAGCCAUGCCGCGUGUGUGAAGAAGGCCUUCGGGUUGUAAAGCACUUUCAGUGGGGAAGAAAGCCUUGGGGCUAAUACCCUCGAGGAAGGACAUCACCCACAGAAGAAGCACCGGCUAACUCCGUGCCAGCAGCCGCGGUAAUACGGAGGGUGCGAGCGUUAAUCGGAAUUACUGGGCGUAAAGCGCGCGUAGGCGGUCUGAUAAGCCGGUUGUGAAAGCCCCGGGCUCAACCUGGGAACGGCAUCCGGAACUGUCAGGCUAGAGUGCAGGAGAGGAAGGUAGAAUUCCCGGUGUAGCGGUGAAAUGCGUAGAGAUCGGGAGGAAUACCAGUGGCGAGGGCGGCCUUCUGGACUGACACUGACGCUGAGGUGCGAAAGCGUGGGUAGCAAACAGGAUUAGAUACCCAGUAGUC
rnacentral:rRNA from 1 species